UUGGAGGGCAAGUCUGGUGCCAGCAGCCGCGGUAAUUCCAGCUCCAAUAGCGUAUAUUAAAGUUGUUGCAGUUAAAAAGCUCGUAGUUGAAUUUCGGGAUCAGAGUGUCGGUCGUGCCUCGGUACGCACUGGUAUUAUUGGUUCCUACCUUCUGAAGAACCGCGAUGUCAUUAAUUUGGUGUCGUGGGGAAUCAGGACUGUUACUUUGAAAAAAUUAGAGUGUUUAAAGCAGGCUUACGCUUGAAUACAUUAGCAUGGAAUAAUGAAAUAGGACGUUUGAUUCUAUUUUGUUGGUUUCUAGGAUUGACGUAAUGAUUAAUAGGGAUAGUUGGGGGCAUUAGUAUUCAAUUGUCAGAGGUGAAAUUCUUGGAUUUAUUGAAGACUAACUACUGCGAAAGCAUUUGCCAAGGAUGUUUUCAUUAAUCAAGAACGAAAGUUAGGGGAUCGAAGACGAUCAGAUACCGUCGUAGUCUUAACCAUAAACUAUGCCGACUAGGGAUCGGAUGAUGUUAAUUUUUUAAUGACUCAUUCGGCGCCUACGGAAAC
rnacentral:rRNA from 1 species